rnacentral:rRNA from 1 species
UACGAAGGGGGCUAGCGUUGCUCGGAAUCACUGGGCGUAAAGGGUGCGUAGGCGGGUCUUUAAGUCAGGGGUGAAAUCCUGGAGCUCAACUCCAGAACUGCCUUUGAUACUGAGGAUCUUGAGUCCGGGAGAGGUGAGUGGAACUGCGAGUGUAGAGGUGAAAUUCGUAGAUAUUCGCAAGAACACCAGUGGCGAAGGCGGCUCACUGGCGCGGUGCUGACGCUGAGGCGCGAAAGCGUGGGGAGCAAACAGG